UACGAGGGGGGCGAGCGUUGUUCGGAAUUAUUGGGCGUAAAGGGUGCGUAGGCGGUUCCGCAAGUCCUGUGUGAAAUCUUCGGGCUCAACUCGAAGUCUGCACGGGAAACUGCGGGGCUUGAGUGUGGGAGAGGUGAGUGGAAUCCCCGGUGUAGCGGUGAAAUGCGUAGAUAUCGGGAGGAACACCUGUGGCGAAAGCGGCUCACUGGACCAUAACUGACGCUGAUGCACGAAAGCUGGGGGAGCAAACAGG
rnacentral:rRNA from 1 species